rnacentral:tRNA from 1 species
CUGGGCUGCCUGACUUCUGGGGUAAAUCAGCCGAAGUCGGUCCCCGGCGGCGCCCGCGUCA